UACACUCCUACGGGAGGCAGCAGUGGGGAAUUUUGGACAAUGGGCGAAAGCCUGAUCCAGCCAUGCCGCGUGCAGGAUGAAGGCCUUCGGGUUGUAAACUGCUUUUGUACGGAACGAAACGGCCUUUUCUAAUAAAGAGGGCUAAUGACGGUACCGUAAGAAUAAGCACCGGCUAACUACGUGCCAGCAGCCGCGGUAAUACGUAGGGUGCAAGCGUUAAUCGGAAUUACUGGGCGUAAAGCGUGCGCAGGCGGUUAUGUAAGACAGUUGUGAAAUCCCCGGGCUCAACCUGGGAACUGCAUCUGUGACUGCAGAGCUAGAGUACGGUAGAGGGGGAGGGAAUUCCGCGUGUAGCAGUGAAAUGCGUAGAUAUGCGGAGGAACACCGAUGGCGAAGGCAAUCCCCUGGACCUGUACUGACGCUCAUGCACGAAAGCGUGGGGAGCAAACAGGAGUAUAAACCCCAGUAGUCCCAUGA
rnacentral:rRNA from 1 species